UGGGGAAUAUUGGACAAUGGGCGAAAGCCUGACCCAGCAACGCCGCGUGAAGGAUGAAGUAUUUCGGUAUGUAAACUUCGAAAGAAUAGGAAGAAUAAAUGACGGUACUAUUUAUAAGGUCCGGCUAACUACGUGCCAGCAGCCGCGGUAAUACGUAGGGACCAAGCGUUGUUCGGAAUCACUGGGCGUAAAGCGCACGUAGGUGGGCAGUUAAGUCAGGGGUGAAAGCCCGAGGCUCAACCUCGGAAUUGCCUCUGAUACUGGCUGUCUAGAGUUCGAGAGAGGUGAGUGGAAUUCCUAGUGUAGAGGUGAAAUUCGUAGAUAUUAGGAAGAACACCGGUGGCGAAGGCGGCCCACUGGAUCGGUACUGACGCUGAGGUGCGAAAGCGUGGGGAGCAAACAGGAUUAGAUACCCCAGUAGUCCCUGAGCGGGCUGGCAAGGCGCAU
rnacentral:rRNA from 1 species